rnacentral:rRNA from 1 species
UACGUAGGGAGCAAGCGUUGUCCGGAUUCACUGGGCGUAAAGGGUGCGCAGGCGGUUGGGUGUGUCAGAUGUGAAAUCCCGAGGCUUAACCUCGGAACUGCGUCUGAAACUACUCGACUAGAGUAUUGGAGAGGGUAACGGAAUUCACGGUGUAGCAGUGAAAUGCGUAGAUAUCGUGAGGAACACCAGAGGCGAAGGCGGUUACCUGGACAAUUACUGACGCUCAGGCACGAAAGCAUGGGGAGCAAAAGGG